rnacentral:rRNA from 1 species
AGGAAUGACAAGCAACUGCGCUUGCUGCAGUAAUGGCGAAUGAACUGGCAACACACUGUCUCAGCCUGAACAGAAUCCAGUCGCACCAGUUGUGCACUUGGCUUGUGUGAGAUUCAGCAGAUGCUGUGGGUUGAUGGAGUGGGUGGCAAGUCUUGUCAGGCCAUGCACCAAGAAUGUCCCUGGAAUGGGCUAUGAGACGAGGAUACUGUCCUGUAUGGUGCUGUGUGCUGUGGUCUGGCUUGGCUUUGCUGCUCGCAUCCAGGAGUAGAGUUGCUUGGGACUGCAGUUUGAAGAGCAUGGUGUAUCCUAUGCAAGGAACAAUACUGACAUGGAACCGAUAGAGCACAAGUAGAGUGAUUGAAGGAUGCAAAGCACCUUGCAAAGGGGGUUAAAAGUCCCUGAAGCCUCAACAGGAACGGUGGAGAGUGGUGCUGUGGUUAUCUGGUCGCGAUCAGGCUGCUUGCCCAGUUGGUUCUGGCUGGCUGUCCUGAGACCAGGGUCCUGAUGGACCAUCUGUUGGAAUCCAAGCAACCUUGGGCUGGCCCUGGGCUGGUCACUGAGCUCCAUCCACAAGGUGGAAUGAUGAUUGUGGCAGUCUGAGGUGACAGUAUGCUUCCCUGAGCCUGAGGGCAUCAGAUCAGAGUUAUCACAGAACAGACACCUGCGUGUCAGUCCUCAAUAGAGGCAAGUUGUUGAGAGCAAAUGCCAAGCCUGCUUUGUCUGCGGACAUUGCAGUGCACUGUGCCUUGYAUGUUGAAGCAAUGCCAUGCUGCAUGUUGGCAGCAUUGUCCUGACAAUGGCUCACUUGUGGUGGAUGCUUUGCAGAAAGUGUGCAGUGCAGAUGGCAGUUGAGCUUGGUAUCAGUAUCACUCUCUGCCCGUCUUGAAACACGGACCAAGGAGUCUAUGGAGCAUGCAGAUCAGAUGGUGUUAUCAGCAAAACCACUCGAUGUGGUGAAGGCAACAGUCCAGAUGGAUGCAACUGUUUGCUUGUGUUACAGUGGCCAAAUGGCAUGUGGAAUGUCUGUGCCUGAGGUCCAGUGAUGACAGUGAUGGCAUUCUGCAUGGGACACCAGUCCCGCAGUCCAGUGGACAGGGUUCUGAGUGAUUGCAUGGUCCAUGGGACCCGAAAGGUGGUGAACUAUACCGUGCUAUGAUGAAGCUGUGGGAAACUGCAGUGGAAGUCAGCAGCUGUUCUGACGUGCAAAUUGUGUAGCCUGAGCAUGGCAUAGGGGUGAAAGGCCAAUCGAGCCACCUAGUAGC